rnacentral:lncRNA from 1 species
GUUGGAAACCCCAGCUGAGCUUGAACGAGCUUAUCUUAUUCAAACUUAAUUUAAAAUUAAUUUUGAACUUAAAUUUAGGCUCAAAUUUAGAUUGAAAUUAAUUCGAGUCGAGUUCGAGCGAGCCUAACUUUGAGUCGACCCAGCUCCCGUCCUAAACAAGCCAUUUGGAACUCUUAACAUCAUGCAAUCUAUAAUUUAAUUUUUAUACAAUAUUAUCUAAAAUUUGAUACAAAAAAUAUGUAAUAGUUCAACAUACAAAAUAAAUAUAUGAAAUACGAUAUUAUAAUAUUUAAAAAAGUUUAGAGAAAAACGACUCUGCGAGCAAGUGAAAGGAAGAGAGCAAUUAGAAUAUGAUUAGC